rnacentral:rRNA from 1 species
GACGUAGGGCGCGAGCGUUGUCCGGAUUUAUUGGGCGUAAAGAGCUCGUAGGCGGUUUGUCGCGUCUGCCGUGAAAGUCCGGGGCUCAACUCCGGAUCUGCGGUGGGUACGGGCAGACUAGAGUGAUGUAGGGGAGACUGGAAUUCCUGGUGUAGCGGUGAAGUGCGCAGAUAUCAGGAGGAACACCGAUGGCGAAGGCAGGUCUCUGGGCUGUAACUGACGCUGAGGAGCGAAAGCAUGGGGAGCGAACAGG